AAAAACUAUUCAAUUGAAAUAAGUAUAGCAUGAGGUUUUUUACGGUAUAAAGUGAUCAAACAAUUUUGUAUUUGUUGCAUGCAAAGGUAGAAUAAAAAUUGCUAAAACUUUCAAGGUUUUUUAUACUAUGAUCCUUUUUGUGUUUCUAUUUCUUGUUGUAGUCGAUGUUGAUGCUAUAAGAUGUAUGUCAGACAUCGAUUGUCUAAAUUUCAAUUGUCCACUUCAUCGCUAUGGAUUUUGCUCAGAGGGUAAUUGUCGCUGCUCAAAUUAAUAGGGUAUAUUCAACACGAUCAUGACAAACAAUCAAUGGAGUUUUUUUUUGUGGAACUGGAGUAUUAGAGGCUUGUGCUUCACUUUAUUUUAAGAGUUUUUUUUAUCAUCGUUGAUUUUGUAGUAUGGGUAGAGAUCUUUGGACAUCAAUAGUAUCUUUUGAAUGAGUUUCUCUAUUUAAUAAUUAUUUGUGUUGUUUAAGAUUUAGUGUUUUCACUUGUUUUAUUUUUCAGUUUUCAAAGUUAUAUGAGUUAUAAAAUUAUUGUUAUUAUUUGUAAGAAAAUAUCAUGUUUUUGAAACGUAAAAA